CAGAUUCAUUUGUGAAGUAUGAUGUACACAAUGCCAACAGUUCGACCUCACUUUUGGUGAGAGUAGUCCAUGUAUGAGAAACACGUGAAUUCCACUAGUGUUGUCAUGAUUCAGGAUUUUAAAUUCUGGAAAUUGUUGAUUUUUUUUUAAUUCAGCUGUCUAUUCUUCUUGGCUUGUGUGUAUAUGGCUUCAUCUCAG